UUAUAUGAGAGUUUGAUCCUGGCUCAGGAUGAACGCUGGCGGCGUGCCUAAUACAUGCAAGUCGAACGAGUUCUGAUUAUUGAAAGGUGCUUGCAUCUUGAUUUAAUUUUGAACGAGUGGCGGACGGGUGAGUAACACGUGGGUAACCUGCCCUUAAGUGGGGGAUAACAUUUGGAAACAGAUGCUAAUACCGCAUAAAUCCAAGAACCGCAUGGUUCUUGGCUGAAAGAUGGCGUAAGCUAUCGCUUUUGGAUGGACCCGCGGCGUAUUAGCUAGUUGGUGAGGUAACGGCUCACCAAGGCAAUGAUACGUAGCCGAACUGAGAGGUUGAUCGGCCACAUUGGGACUGAGACACGGCCCAAACUCCUACGGGAGGCAGCAGUAGGGAAUCUUCCACAAUGGACGCAAGUCUGAUGGAGCAACGCCGCGUGAGUGAAGAAGGCUUUC
rnacentral:rRNA from 1 species